ACACAUGCAAGUCGAACGCAGUAGCAAUACUGAGUGGCAGACGGGUGAGUAACAUGUGGGAAUCUGCCUUGUGGUUCAGGACAACAUUGGGAAACCGAUGCUAAUACUGGAUAAGCCCUUACGGGGAAAGUUUUAAUGCCAUAAGAUGAGCCCGCAUUUGAUUAGUUAGUUGGUGAGGUAAUGGCUCACCAAGACAAUGAUCAAUAGCUGAUCUGAGAGGAUGAUCAGCCACACUGGGACUGAGACACGGCCCAGACUCCUACGGGAGGCAGCAGUGGGGAAUCUUGCACAAUGGAGGAAACUCUGAUGCAGCGAUGCCGCGUGAGUGAAGAAGGCCUUUGGGUUGUAAAGCUCUUUUGUAGGGGAAGAUAAUGACUGUACCCUAAGAAUAAGGUCCGGCUAACUUCGUGCCAGCAGCCGCGGUAAUACGAAGGGACCUAGCGUAGUUCGGAAUUACUGGGCGUAAAGCGCGCGUAGGCCGUUGAGUUAGUUAAUUGUGAAAUCCCAAAGCUUAACUUUGGAACUGCAAUUAAAACUGCUCGACUAGAGUUUGAUAGAGGAAAGCGGAAUACAUAGUGUAGAGGUGAAAUUCGUAGAUAUUAUGUAGAACACCAGUUGCGAAGGCGGCUUUCUGGAUCAACACUGACGCUGAGGCGCGAAAGUAUGGGUAGCAAAGAGGAUUAGAUACC
rnacentral:rRNA from 1 species